rnacentral:rRNA from 1 species
UACCAGCACCCCGAGUGGUCGGGACGUUUUAUUGGGCCUAAAGCAUCCGUAGCCGGUUCUACAAGUCUUCCGCUAAAUCCAACUGCUUAACAGGUGGGCUGCGGAAGAUACUAUAGAGCUAGGAGGCGGGAGAGGCAAGCGGUACUCGAUGGGUAGGGGUAAAAUCCGUUGAUCCAUUGAAGACCACCAGUGGCGAAGGCGGCUUGCCAGAACGCGCUCGACGGUGAGGGAUGAAAGCUGGGGGAGCAAACCGG